rnacentral:misc_RNA from 1 species
UUUCCGUAGGUGAACCUGCGGAAGGAUCAUUAAAAAAUUGGACUCCAUUGGUGAGUUCAUUAAUAAUCCCUACCCUUUGUGAAUUUGUUUGUUUGAAUAAUUUUUUUUCCAAAAAAAAUUAUUGAAUGUCUUUCCCUGUUUUGGUGGAGCUUGUAAAGUGAAACCAGGCAGGGGAAUGGCAAACAAUAAUUAUUUUUUGAAAAAAGACCUUUUUUAAAAUUAAACUUUUUGUAUUCAUUUGUCUAAAAUUAUUUUUAUAAUAUAAAAACAACUUUUGACAAUGGAUCUCUUGGUUCUCGCAACGAUGAAGAACGCAGCAAAAUGCGAUAAGUAGUGUGAAUUGCAGAAUACGUGAAUCAUCGAAUCUUCGAACGCAUAUUGCACUUUUUUAGUUUACUAAAAAAGUAUGUCUGUUUGAGUAUCAGUAAAAUAUUCUCAUAAAAAAUUUAUUUUUUAUGGUUAUGAGUGUUUUACAACGAUAACAAGUUGUUUCACUUUAAAUUCUUUGUUAUCAAAAAAUCAUUAAAAGCUAAUUUUAAAGAUUUUUUAAAAUUGGAUAAAAUUUUCCCGUAAAAAGGAAUAACCUAAACAAUUUUAAAAAAUUAAAAUUGGUUUGAUUUUUCUUGAUUUAAAAAGGAAAAAAAAGUAAAAAUUAACUUGAUCUCAAAUCAGAUAAGAGUACCCGCUGAACUUAAGCAUAUCAAUAAGCGGAGGAAAAGAAACUAACUAGGAUUCCCUCAGUAACGGCGAGUGAAGCGGGAAGAGCUCAAAUUUGAAAUCUUCAAGGUUUUACCUUGACGAAUUGUAGUUUAAAGAAGUGUUUUCUGUUGGAGUUUUGGUAAAAGUUCUUUGGAAAAGGACAUCAUAGAGGGUGAGAAUCCCGUAUUUGACCAUUAUCUCCAGCUUUGUGAUACACUUUCAAAGAGUCGGAUUGUUUGGGAAUGCAGUCCAAAAUGGGUGGUAAAUUUCAUCUAAAGCUAAAUACUGGCGAGAGACCGAUAGCGAACAAGUACCGUGAGGGAAAGAUGAAAAGAGCUUUGAAAAGAGAGUUAAACGGUACGUGAAAUUGUCAAAAGGGAAGCGUUUGACACCAGUGUUGUUUUCUCGAAAAUCAAUUAAAAAAGGCCGGAUUUUGUGUUGUAAUUGACUUUAUCAGCUUUCUGCACUUUUUUCUUGUCUUUUUUAAUGCACUUUUCGUUUAACAAGUCAACAUCAAUUUCUUUUGUUGUAAAAGGGUCAUUGGAAGGUGGCUUUCUUUUCGGAGAAAGUGUUUAUAGCCUUUGGCCUCUGCAAUCGGAGAGAUUGAGGUCUGCAGCGUAGAUCCUUCGGGGUUAGAUACAUUUGUGCUAAGUUAUAGCCUUUCAUAGACAACUUGUUGACUAUGAUCAGUCAUGUAGCUUACUCGCUUAUGCUAUUU